GCAUGGGUUUGGAUUGAUGGCAGGCCCGACCCCAUGGGCCUCUCAUAGUGUCCUGUGCCAGAGCGAACUGUAACCCCGAACCAUUGCCUGGCUCUGUCCCAUGGGCGGUGGGCACUGAAGUGGGUUGCAUAGUG